rnacentral:sRNA from 1 species
GCACUGGGGACGUGUUGGGGACAGGUGGCCGCGUCUGGGUUCGUGGUGGUCGGCGUGGUCAAGUGGCUCUUCCACGGCUCCCUCGCCGUGUUU